rnacentral:misc_RNA from 1 species
AACGCAUCUUGCGCUCCUUGGUAUUCCGAGGAGCAUGCCUGUUUGAGUGUUAUUAAUAUCUCAAACCCUCAACUCUUUUUGAGGGCUUGGAUUUGGAGGAUCUAUUUGCAGGGCUUUACUUUCAUUCUCUGCUCCUCUGAAAAGAAUAGGUGGCGUUUGUGUUUAGACCCACAUCAGAUGUGAUAAUUAUCUGCAUCUGAUUGGCUAUGCUUUGCUGCCCAUUUCCAGAAGCUUGCUUCAUUUGUUAUUUGACCUCAAAUCAGGUAGGACUACCCGCUGAACUUAA